UACAGAGGUCUCAAGCGUUGUUCGGAUUCAUUGGGCGUAAAGGGUGCGUAGGUGGCGUGGCAAGUCUGAUGUGAAAUCCCGGGGCUCAACCCCGGAACUGCAUUGGAUACUGCCAUGCUUGAGCACUGGAGAGGAGACUGGAAUUUACGGUGUAGCAGUGAAAUGCGUAGAUAUCGUAAGGAAGACCAGUGGCGAAGGCGAGUCUCUGGACAGUUGCUGACACUGAGACGCGAAAGCUAGGGGAGCGAACAGG
rnacentral:rRNA from 1 species